UUGCCUCAAGCGAUUUCCGUUUCUCUUUCCUUUAGACCCAAGGAAUUACAGCAAGUAGACCUGCAGGAUCCACCAAGGGCCUUGUUAGCCCAGCUUGAAAGCAGCCAAAGUGACUAAUGCUUGUAUGAGGUGACUCCAUUUGAUGCCAGUGGAUGCCAACAGUACCAAGGAGGUCAUGCUUCAAGAGAACAGAAAACAGAACUAGUGCUAAUAGGAGCAUGCUCACUUGGCCAGGGUAUUCUAAAAAUAAAAUCAAAGGACACCUACUGGC